ensembl:lncRNA
CGUCUGCCUCAAGUCCGCUGCGGAGCUGAUGUGCUGGCUGCUCGACACCUCUUGCAUGAAUCACUGCCUCUGCCCUUUUUUUCCAUUUGCCAUUUCUGGUCAUUUUUCCCUGUUCUGCCGAAUCCCAUGCACCCAUGAAUGCAGUCCAUUGGUUUUGGGAUGUGGUGAGCCGUAUGUGCAGCCCCACUUUUCUAAGGGCUGGAAACUGGUCUGUCCUUGCAGACUGAAGAACAACACACUCUCACUGAAGACCAGCAGCCUUCUCAUUUCAAGCCCCUACCCCUGGCCACGGUUGGGCUGGGCGUGCAGGCUGCAGACCUCACCUGUAUGUUGGAGGUCUGGGUCUCCUGGGCCGUGGGGCUGCCCAGGCUGUGGCAGGGAGCAGGAGGAGGGAAUGGGUCUGUACCUGAUGUGGCGGUGGGACAAGCCACACUUUCACUUCUACUCUAUUGCUAAAAAUAAGUAUUUUCAUAGCUGUGUGUUUGCGUGGAGCUCCCUGUCUGAGGAAACAGAAACAUCUUAGUACCCCUGUGUCUCUUGGUACUACUAUCCUUUUAGCCUGGACACUAAAGACUUUUUAAGAGAGGAAUAUUCAUUAUUCAUGCUGAACUUUUUUUUUUUUAAGUUCAGGAGAGUUCUCCUUGUUUACAGUACAGUUAACUGUAGCCCACCUUAUAGGCAUGAAAGAUGCUUCUUUUUAAUCCCCUUCUCUUAAGAUCCAAGAAAGCGUGAAGGAGUGAAACGACCCAAUCGCUCACUGCUAACAUGGGCUGCUGAAGUGAUGAUACUGGGUCACGACAGCUGUCCAGAUGCUCUGUGCACUGGGAUCUUGCGCUGGCUGGGAUGUUCCCGUACCAGGCGUCGGUAAUAGUGUGAGAAAGGGAAACAUGAUCGGGGCUCUUCUCCAGGAGAGUAAAAUACACACCCAGCAGGGAGGAGAAUAUCCUAGAAACAAACAGCAGGGAGCUGAAACAAGGAAGCAGCAGCACAGGAAAUGGAGCUGCAACUCUGAUUCCAGCAGAUGGAUUAGUGGAAGUCAAAUGGGGGAGAAACCAGGGGAUUUCUGUGCAAGUGGGAGAGUGCUCUGUUAGGUUCACCCUUGGCCAGUAAGGCCAGCUUUUGCGCUGGGUGUGCAUGUAUGUGAAAGAGCAGAAGAGGUGUAGAGAAGUAAUUGAUAUGUCUCCCCAUCAUGAAAGAGUUGGGUUCUUACUUAAUUUUUCUUUUCUGAACAGUCUUUUUUCUUUUUUUUUUUUUCCCCCUCAAUCUUCGGGUCAGGUUUUUAAAUUAAGGAACUGCUUUUUAAAACUUUACCUGCCGAAAAAAAGUUGUUUGUUAAACUGAUUCUGUUUCACUAGUAGCUUUGGUCUUUCCUAAGUGAUAUCUUUGAACUUUUUUUUUUUUUUAACUAAAGCAUAGCUCUAGCAAUGCUGCUUGUAAGGAAAUCCAGCAUGUAGAGGUACCCAUGUGAAUGGGAAGAAAAAGGAUUAAGUCUAAUGAGUGGAGUAGUCAACUAAAGCUGUCAACAUUCAGUUACAUUUCUUUGCCCUCACGUUUUGUACAAUGUAGUAAUGCAUUUGGAAAUUAAAAUGAGCAUUCUCCUGUAUUGUCUUUCAGUGGCCCUUUUUGGCUCUUACUAAUUAUUUCAUAUCAAGUGCAACAAAUACAAAACUAAACGAGCUUUUAAAAGUGUAAUACUGCUAUUAAUUAAGUGGAAACUUAUAAAUUUCCCCUUUAUAAGACACUAGAUAAGCUGAGAUUCACCAAGGACAAUAAAUACAUUAUAUCUACUUAGUGUUUUAAGCA